rnacentral:miRNA from 1 species
GUAAAUAUUAGAUUGGUGCAAAAGUAAUUGCAGUUUUUGCCAUUUGUAAUUGCUUUUAAUGGCAAAAACUGCAGUUACUUUUGCACCAACCUGAUAAAUACAA